rnacentral:rRNA from 1 species
AGUGAACGCUGGCGGUGGGCCUAACACAUGCAAGUCGAACGGCAGCACAGUAAGAGCUUGCUCUUACGGGUGGCGAGUGGCGGACGGGUGAGGAAUACAUCGGAAUCUACUUUUUCGUGGGGGAUAACGUAGGGAAACUUACGCUAAUACCGCAUACGACCUACGGGUGAAAGCAUGGGAUCUUCGGACCUUGCGCGAUUGAAUGAGCCGAUGUCGGGUUAGCUAGUUGGCGGGGUAAAGGCCCACCAAGGCGACGAUCCGUAGCUGGUCUGAGAGGGUGAUCGGCCACACUGGAACUGAGACACGGUCCAGACGCCUACGGGAGGCAGCAGUGGGGAAUAUUGGACAAUGGGCGCAAGCCUGAUCCAGCCAUACCGCGUGGGUGAAGAAGGCCUUCGGGUUGUAAAGCCCUUUUGUUGGGAAAGAAAAGCAGCAGGUUAAUACCCCGCUGUUCUGACGGUACCCAAAGAAUAAGCACCGGCUAACUUCGUG